rnacentral:rRNA from 1 species
GAUGAACGCUGGCGGCGUGCCUAAUACAUGCCAGUCGAGCGAACAGACGAGGAGCUUGCUCCUUCGACGUUAGCGGCGGACGGGUGAGUAACACGUAGGUAACCUACCUAUAAGACUGGGAUAACUUCGGGAAACCGGAGCUAAUACCGGAUAAUAUUUCGAACCGCAUGGUUCGAUAGUGAAAGAUGGCUUUGCUAUCACUUAUAGAUGGACCUGCGCCGUAUUAGCUAGUUGGUAAGGUAACGGCUUACCAAGGCAACGAUACGUAGCCGACCUGAGAGGGUGAUCGGCCACACUGGAACUGAGACACGGUCCAGACUCCUACGGGAGGCAGCAGUAGGGAAUCUUCCGCAAUGGGCGAAAGCCUGACGGAGCAACGCCGCGUGAGUGAUGAAGGUCUUCGGAUCGUAAAACUCUGUUAUUAGGGAAGAACAAACGUGUAAGUAACUGUGCACGUCUUGACGGUGCCUAAUCAGAAAGCCACGGCUAACUACGUG